rnacentral:rRNA from 1 species
AUUGAACGCUGGCGGCAGGCCUAACACAUGCAAGUCGAGCGGAAGGUGCUUUCGGGCACUGAGAGCGGCGAACGGGUGAGUAACGCGUGGGAAUUUGCCUAGUAGUGGGGGACAACAUUGCGAAAGUGAUGCUAAUACCGCAUACGCCCUAAGGGGGAAAGUGGGGGAUCUUCGGACCUCACGCUAUUAGAGGAGCCCGCGUCGGAUUAGCUAGUUGGUAGGGUAAAGGCCUACCAAGGCGACGAUCCGUAACUGGUCUGAGAGGAUGAUCAGUCACACUGGAACUGAGACACGGUCCAGACUCCUACGGGAGGCAGCAGUGGGGAAUAUUGGACAAUGGGGGCAACCCUGAUCCAGCCAUGCCGCGUGUGUGAAGAAGGCCUUCGGGUUGUAAAGCACUUUAAGUUGGGAGGAAGGCUUUAAGGUUAAUACCCUUGGAGAUUGACGUUACCAACAGAAUAAGCACCGGCUAACUCCGUGCCAGCCGCCGCAGUAAAAC